rnacentral:rRNA from 1 species
UACAGAGGGUGCAAGCGUUGUUCGGAAUCAUUGGGCGUAAAGGGCGCGUAGGCGGUGCCUCAAGUCAGGGCGUGAAAGCCCCGGGCUCAACCUGGGAACCGCGCUUGAGACUGGAGUACUAGAGUUCGGAAGAGGUUAGUGGAAUUCCCAGUGUAGAGGUGAAAUUCGAUAGAUAUUGGGAAGAACACCAGUGGCGAAGG